ensembl:lncRNA
AGUGUAGAGUGUGUGUUCUGGUCUCAACAGCCUCUCCUGGUCUGAGUGUGAUUGGACUCUGGGGCUGGGGGAGGCUGCACACCUGUUGCUCGUUGACCAAUAAUUUUACUUUCAGGGCGUUUAGCAGAAUGCUUUUAGCCGAAGAGACUCACAAUAAGUCCAGUUGUCAGAAGAAAGAGGGACAACAAUAUAUCUCUGUCGUUACAGAAUCAUGUGGUGCCUGAGAGGAGAGAAAGGACAUCGCCAUGGCAACCAAAAGACAACGCAAACAGUCAACAGACGUCUGUGAAUCGAAUCAGUCCUGCCUUCAUGUUGUGUUCAUUUUUUGACCCCCACCCCCUCGGACCACUGAUAAGAAAUAAGGCGCCGAAAUUGAAUUAAGUUCAAUUUAAUUCAAUUCAAAAGUGUGAUUUAUACCAACCUCAGAGGGUGUUGACAGUGGGGUGGGGGCUGGGGAGAGGUUCUGGAAAGUACUGG